AACGAACGCUGGCGGCAUGCCUAACACAUGCAAGUCGAACGAAGGCUUCGGCCUUAGUGGCGCACGGGUGCGUAACGCGUGGGAAUCUGCCCUUUGGUUCGGAAUAACAGCUGGAAACGGCUGCUAAUGCCGGAUGAUGACGAAAGUCCAAAGAUUUAUCGCCAGAGGAUGAGCCCGCGUUGGAUUAGGUAGUUGGUGGGGUAAAGGCCUACCAAGCCGACGAUCCAUAGCUGGUCUGAGAGGAUGAUCAGCCACACUGGGACUGAGACACGGCCCAGACUCCUACGGGAGGCAGCAGUGGGGAAUAUUGGACAAUGGGCGCAAGCCUGAUCCAGCAAUGCCGCGUGAGUGAUGAAGGCCCUAGGGUUGUAAAGCUCUUUUACCCGGGAAGAUAAUGACUGUACCGGGAGAAUAAGCCCCGGCUAACUCCGUG
rnacentral:rRNA from 1 species